CAAAGGAGUGGGGGUCAUCAAGAAGAAGAGGAGGAGGGGGUGGCUUUCUGAUCUCAGGUGCUUUACCUGACGCAGCUCACAGCAUCCUCGCAAGGCAUCUCUCUCUGAUGCCCAUUAUCGCCAGUAAACACCGAUGACUCCCAGAUCUACAGCUCCAGGCUGUUCCCUUCUCCGUGUCUCAUAUCAGCUUUGCCAACUGUUUAUUGGACAUCACCGCCUGAGUAUCCCUGAGGGACACGAUUAUCCUGUUUGGAGUGUAUUGAACUUCUUGGAUACAUCGAUUAGUGUCUUUCCUCAAGUUUGAGUAAUUUGCAGUCAUUUUUCCUUUGAAAAUUCUUUCUUCUCUAUUCUGUUUCUCUCCUUGUUGAACCCCCAUCAUGCAUAGGUGUGCUCUGUUCAUUUUUCACAUUACUUUUAUUUUUCUGCUCCUCGGACUGAAUAAUCUCAAUUGACCUAUUUUAAGUUCACUGAUUCUUUUGCCUGCCCAAACCUACUGUUGUACCCCUCUAGUGACUUUUAGUUAUUGUACUUUUCAAAUAAAGA
rnacentral:lncRNA from 1 species